rnacentral:misc_RNA from 1 species
AAAAGUCGUAACAAGGUUUCCGUAGGUGAACCUGCGGAAGGAUCAUUACCAAUUUUAUAAAAAUCUCUAAACCCUUGUGCACUGUUAGUGAAUGUCCUGGUUUUUGGGAUGGACUGUUUUACGGUUCAUCCCAGCCCAUUUUGUCAAACAACGUUUACAUUUUGUCAUGGCAUCGUAACUUGUCUUAAUAAAUAUUAUGACAACUUUUAACGGUGGAUCUCUUGGCUCGUG